rnacentral:rRNA from 1 species
AGAGUUUGAUCCUGGCUCAGAUUGAACGCUGGCGGAACGCUUUACACAUGCAAGUCGAACGGUAACGCGGAGAGAAGCUUGCUUCUCCCCGGCGACGAGUGGCGAACGGGUGAGUAAUACAUCGGAACGUGUCCGCUCGUGGGGGACAACCAGCCGAAAGGUUGGCUAAUACCGCAUGAGUUCUACGGAAGAAAGAGGGGGACCCGCAAGGGCCUCUCGCGAGCGGAGCGGCCGAUGACUGAUUAGCCGGUUGGUGAGGUAACGGCUCACCAAAGCAACGAUCAGUAGCUGGUCUGAGAGGACGACCAGCCACACUGGGACUGAGACACGGCCCAGACUCCUACGGGAGGCAGCAGUGGGGAAUUUUGGACAAUGGGCGCAAGCCUGAUCCAGCUAUUCCGCGUGUGGGAUGAAGGCCCUCGGGUUGUAGACCACUUUUGUAGAGAACGAAAAGACACCUUCGAAUAAAGGGUGUUGCUGACGGUACUCUAAGAAUAAGCACCGGCUAACUACGUGCCAGCAGCCGCGGUAAUACGUAGGGUGCGAGCGUUAAUCGGAAUUACUGGGCGUAAAGGGUGCGCAGGCGGUUGAGUAAGACAGAUGUGAAAUCCCCGAGCUUAACUCGGGAAUGGCAUAUGUGACUGCUCGACUAGAGUGUGUCAGAGGGAGGUGGAAUUCCACGUGUAGCAGUGAAAUGCGUAGAUAUGUGGAAGAACACCGAUGGCGAAGGCAGCCUCCUGGGACAUAACUGACGCUCAGGCACGAAAGCGUGGGGAGCAAACAGGAUUAGAUACCCUGGUAGUCCACGCCCUAAACGAUGUUAACUAGUUGUUGGGAAGUAAUAUUCUCAGUAACGCAGCCAACGCGAGAAGUUAACCGCCUGGGAAGUACGGUCGCAAGACUAAAACUCAAAGGAAUUGACGGGGACCCGCACAAGCGGUGGAUGAUGUGGAUUAAUUCGAUGCAACGCGAAAAACCUUACCUACCCUUGACAUGUCAGGAAGCUCUUGUAAUGAGAGCGUGCCCGCAAGGGAGCCUGAACACAGGUGCUGCAUGGCUGUCGUCAGCUCGUGUCGUGAGAUGUUGGGUUAAGUCCCGCAACGAGCGCAACCC